rnacentral:rRNA from 1 species
UACGAAGGGUGCAAGCGUUACUCGGAAUUACUGGGCGUAAAGGGCGCGUAGGCGGUCAGCACAAGUCAGUUGUGAAAUCUCCGGGCUUAACUCGGAAAGGUCAACUGAUACUGUGCGACUAGAGUGCAGAAGGGGCAACUGGAAUUCUCGGUGUAGCGGUGAAAUGCGUAGAUAUCGAGAGGAACACCGGUGGCGAAGGCGGCCUUCUGGACAGUGACUGACGCUGAGACGCGAAAGCGUGGGGAGCAAACAGG